GGGAUAGCCCCGUGUUGCCGUCUGACCCCCCGACCCGACGGCAACACGGGGCUCUUUA
rnacentral:sRNA from 1 species